rnacentral:lncRNA from 1 species
AACAGCCGUUCAUGUGGUAUCUUAGCCUUCAUGCUCCUGGUCCCAGCUAGUCUGACCCCAUGCCAUCUGCAGGGAAAAGGAGAUGACAAAGAGAAGUGUUGCAGCUACUUGAGGAAAAAGCUGGCUCUUGCUCAUCUCAAAGGCCAGUACUGCUCAGAACCAUUGCAGACCYGGGGGAUUCAAGCUAACCAGUCCUGACUUCGCAUUGGAGCUGCGGAGGAGCAUUCACACACUCGGACACUGAUCUCGGCUGGGAGGUGGGUUGCGAAGUGGUUCCUGACAGCCGCUCAGCUCUCGGUUGCCUCCGCUCAGCUGGGAUGCGUGCCGAUUGUGUGCUAAUUUGGACUCUAACAGCAAUCAGUCAGGAGGUUUGCCAGGCCAAAGCCCCUGAGUUAAGGCUUCAGGCCAAAUAUGCAAWGUAGACAUGCCCCUAAGAGAGAGGAAACUGUAAGCCUUACUUUCACUGGCAGAACCUACAGAGUGAUUUCAACCUUCUGUACCCAAUAACUCAUUUUGAAUAAAGCUGCUUCCCCGG